UGGAAUUAUCGAGUGUAACAGCAACUCCAUGUGGGCUGUGUACCAACUUCCAGUGGAGAUGCUGUUACUUUUGAUGGUUACCAA
rnacentral:pre_miRNA from 1 species